rnacentral:lncRNA from 1 species
UUUUUCUCUCUAUGUUCUUGACUUGUUACUCUGUGAUAUUAUCACCAUUUACAUUAUUUGCGUGAUUUUUUAUUGCAAUUGCUUAUUGGUCCUAUUGGUUUUCGGAUGUUUCAUGCUACGAUUACUUGGACUAGGUUUCGGUGGUUUGUAAAGCAUACACGUAAUUACAUAGAAAGCGUUGCUGUCUUCCCUUUUCCUUCAGAACACCAAAUCUCUGUGACAUGUACAUGCAAUUAGAGGUCAAAUUUCUUUAAAUAUAAUUGAAACCUGAUUAAUGACUAACUAUGUCCCAAGUGAUCAAUACUUAUAAUAUGGUAUGAUGUUUUCCAAACCUUCAAUGCCUUUCUGAAUUUCAGAGCUCAGGGCGAGAUGUCUUUCUGUUGGAAAAUCCUGUGAUAUGCUCUUGCAUGAUGUACUUCCAGACUACACUUUACUAUUGUAGCUCUAAGAACUCUCAGGCUUCAUCUGAAUCCAAUCUGUGGCUGACUAGAAGUCGUUAAAACACUGUAUAUUUGCCUCAAAAACAUAUGGAAAUAAAAUCAUGAAAUCAUAACAUGUUGAUGGAUGUAGAAGACUAUUAAGCUGACAUUGUUAGUGUGGUAAUACCGUUUAGACUCACAUUUUGUUGAUUUCUCUCAGCACCAAAAUUUUUUUAUCCUGGAUUUUGCAUAUCAGACAAGUUCUCGAGAUAGCAUUUGGUUUAUAAGCUUGAAAUUUUGUCAAGGAAUGAAUAACUUUGAUGCUUGUUCCUCUCAUCAGGCCAUUCUUUUAGCAUCAGAUUGCAACCCACGGUGGCUGUCAAAGCAUUUGCCGAACUUGGCCCAUUCUAGAGGGGUACCAAUCCUGUUUGUCAGGGAUAAGAAAGGGGGAUCUUUAAGAUUAGGUGAACUGCUCAAGCUGAAAACUGCAAUUGCUAUUGGAAUUAAGGUGCAUUUCAUAUGACUUCUAUUUACUUGCACGUAUCUCUCGUUUCACGGCAUAGUUGUGAGCCAGAAUGGCCUU